rnacentral:lncRNA from 1 species
AUCUUACGCCCGUCGCCCUGAGUACGUUAGCGGAAAUGGCUCCGAGAGGCUUUGACGCAUGUGUACCUUUUUAGUGGCGGUAUCUCGGCCGGGGAUUUUCGGGCUCCAGUGGAGGUGGCUAUGCUCACCCCAUCUCCCUUGAGAGGCACAGAAGGUUAGAGAUGUGUGCGAGGAACGGCCAGGUCCAGCGUCUCCUCGUUGCUGCCCCUUGAGCCCGGGACCGGCGCCAAUGCGCGCCCGGGUUCUUGGGUUCUUUCGUCCCGCAGACCUGCCUUGGUGUGGCGUCCCUGGGCCGUAGCUUCCGAAGGCUGCAGCCGACCUGGUCGGGGUCCUCUAGCCCGCCUUCCCCUUCCCCCAUUGACAGAUGGAGAAACUGAGGCCCAGGCCAAAAAAUAUCUCACUAGAGGGCUCACCGCCAUUUCCUGGAAAAAUUGGGGCUGGGACUCAACGGACGCUCGUCCAGCAGCAGCGCGGAGCUCCGAAGUAAAGGCGCCCGUGACCGAGUGCUUUGUCCUUACAAGCGUGGUGUUCUUGAAUGCUUCCAGGCGCCUUAUGAGGCCCCCGAUGUACAAUCUGUGCUUAACUAAACCCCACUGUCUUCCAGGGUCAGGUUGGCCAUCCGCAGGCGUAGUUGCUAGGAAGGUUUGACAGAUGUCCGCCUGUUGAUUCAGACGUUCCCAGGAUUUGGAGCAAGAAGAGCAAGGAAGGCCAGGCGCGGUGGCUCACGUUUGUAAUCCCAGCACUUUGGGAGGCCGAGGCGGGCGGAUCACGAGGUCAGGAGUUCGAGACCAGCCUGGCCAGCAUGGUGAAACCCCGUCUCUACUAAAAAUACAAAAGAAAAUUAGCCGGGUGUGGUGGCACAUGCCUGUAGUCCCACCUACUUGGGAGGCUGAGGCAGGAGAAUUGUUUGACCUGGCAGGCGGAGGUUGCAGUGAGCCGAGAUUGCGCCACUGCACUCCAGUCUGGGCGACAGAGCGAGACUCUGUCUCAGAAAAAAAAAAGAGCAAGGAGGUGUUGAAAAUGGGUUUCCUGGCUGGGCGUGGUGGCUCACGCUUGUAAUCCCAGCACUUUGGGAAGCUGAGGUGGGCGGAUCACUUGAGGUCAGGAGUUUGAGACCAGCCUGGCCAACAUGGUGAAACACCGUCUCCACUAAAAAUAGAAAAAUUAACUGGGUGUGGUGGAGGGCGCCUGUAAUCCCAGCUAAUCAGGAAGCUGAGACAGGAGGAUCGCUUGAACCCAGGAGGCGGAGGUUGCAGUGAGCCGAGAUUGCUCCAUUGCACUCCAGCCUGGGCGAUAGAGUGAGACUCAGCCUCAAAAAAAAAAAAAAAAAAAAAUUCGCCAGGUGUGGUGGUGUGCGCCUAUAAUCCCAGCUACUCAGGAGGCAGAGGCACAAGAAUGGCUUGAAUCACUUGAACCUGGGAGGCAGAGGUUACAAUGAGCCGAGAUGGCACCACUGCACUCCAGCCUGGGCGACAGAGCGAGACUCCGACUUCCCAUCUUAAAAAAAAAAAAAAAAAAAAAAAAGAAGUGUAAAGAUGUGAUUAUGUGGCAGGGGGUAAGGGUUAAAAAGAAAACAAGAACAAGUUUUCCUCUGCUUAGCCAGCUUACUUCAAGGACAGUUAUAACACUGAAAAGUCGAGGCCAAAGGAAUGGGCUCCAGACAGCCUCCUCCGGAGCAAAGUUGAAAAGAAAAAUUCCUUUACUGUCUCUCCUUUUCUGAACCAUUAAAUAUGACUGUUUGCCAAUGGUUGUAUUUAGUAAGAUUUGUAGACUCUGUUUUUCUUUUGACACAGCUGCAAGGCCAACAGCUGUGCAAAGCCACAAGUUAUGCUAAGUCAGCAGUUAUGCUAUAGAUUACAUGACCUGUGACUGUAUCAUUAACUGCUUUUGUUUUGCUUCUGUAAGUUUGCCUAUAAAAACCACACUCAGUCUUUGUUCAAUGGUCAGCUUUUCAGAUACAAAUCCACUGAGCCGGUGUACAUCUAAAUAAAUCCUCCUGUUUCCCGUGUCAAAAAAAAAAAAAAAAAAAAAA